GACGAACGCUGGCGGCGUGCUUAACACAUGCGAGUCGAACGGAAAGGCCCCUUUGGGGGUACUCGAGUGGCGCACGGGUGUGUAACACGUGCGUAACCUGCCCUUCACUUCGGGAUAACUUCAGGAAACUGGGGCUAAUACCGGAUAGGCAUCCUUGCUGCAUGGUGGGGGUUGGAAAGCUUCGGCGGUUUUGGAUGGACUCGCGGCUUAUCGGCUUGUUGGUGGGGUAGUGGCUUACCAAGGCUUUGACGGGUAGCCGGCCUGAGAGGGCGACCGGCCACAUUGGGACUGAGAUACGGCCCAGACUCCUACGGGAGGCAGCAGUGGGGAAUAUUGCACAAUGGGCGGAAGCCUGAUGCAGCAACGCCGCGUGCGGGAUGACGGCCUUCGGGUUGGAAACCGCUUUCAGCAGGGGCGAAGCUUGUGGUGACGGUACCUGCAGAAGAAGCACCGGCUAACUACGUG
rnacentral:rRNA from 1 species